UGGGUGUGAGUGCAGCACCUGUGUGUCUAAAGUACCAAGACUGUGAAUGGUGCUGUUGGGGACAGAUUCCACACACACACAUCUUAGCAACAAACAAGACUGGACCUGAAUUCCUGUGAGGAUCCUGAGCCUUACCCUUACUUGCUGGGCAAGUAAAUGCUGUAGGCCCAAGAGGCUGGACUGGUGACACAGCGGUCAGCAGGCAGCCAUUGCUCCUUUCCUCCAUUUUAUUUUUAUACAGUUUUAUUUUUAUACAGUUUUUAUUUGAAGCGUUGCUACUCUCGUGCCUCAACUAUUUUUGUAGGAAGUGUUAUUUUAUUUUGGUGUACUUCGUACAUGGUGACCGGGCCCCCCCCCCCCCCCCCCCCCC